rnacentral:rRNA from 1 species
CCUACGGGCGGCAGCAGUAGGGAAUAUUGCUCAAUGGGGGAAACCCUGAAGCAGCAACGCCGCGUGGAGGAUGAAGGUUUUCGGAUUGUAAACUCCUUUUGCUAGAGAAGAUACUGACGGUAUCUAACGAAUAAGCACCGGCUAACUCCGUGCCAGCAGCCGCGGUAAUACGGAGGGUGCAAGCGUUACUCGGAAUCACUGGGCGUAAAGAGCGCGUAGGCGGGAUAGCAAGUCAGAUGUGAAAUCCUAGGGCUUAACCAUAGAACUGCAUUUGAAACUGUUAUUCUAGAGUAUGGGAGAGGUAGGUGGAAUUCUUGGUGUAGGAGUAAAAUCCGUAGAGAUCAAGAGGAAUACUCAUUGCGAAGGCGACCUGCUAGAACAUAACUGACGCUGAUGCGCGAAAGCGUGGGGAGCAAACAGGAUUAGAUACCCUUGUAGUC